CAGUGCCGGCCUCUGCCUCUGCCCGUCCCCCACGAGCUGCCUGCUGCCGGCUCCUUUCUCCCGCUAACGUUAGCCAGCGGCACACCUGCCCCAGGGCCGUGCCUCCCUCCCCGCCGGUGCCGCUGCCGGGGCCCGGCCCGCGGGUCCCUCACGCCGCCCGCAGGGAGACAAGAUGGCGCCCGUCCCGCGCCGGCGGCAGCGCUCUGCGCUCCUCCCGCGCUGCCCGCCGCAGAAUAGAAACCAUCCUCUUGAGCUCUCCUGCCACGCAGUGGCUGCUGUGGAGAACUGCCGGAUACCGUGCGUCAGGCCUCGGAUAAGUCGGAAGGUUUGAGGCAGGUUUACUUCCCCCGCCCUGUUGUGGUUAGUUGGAAGUACAAACCCACCCCCCACCCCCGACAUCCUCAGCUCCGGUUUCGUCCAGGCUCGCACAUCGACACAGUCCGGAGCCCAAGUUCCUCGGCUGUUCUUUUCUUCUAGGGGGAAAUAAACAGUAAGAGCGAUUACUUUGAUUUAUUCCAACACUGCUGUUAUCUGUUAAACUGGGACCGGGAGCCGCAUUGGGAGCAGGAGCGCUGGUGCUGGUGUGAGGCGUCAGGAGCCCCACAGAACAGUGCACCUGUCCGGGCUGCCAAAGCCGCCUCCGCUCCUUCAGCGGCCCUGCGCCCUUCCUGCGGCGGUGCUGAGCAGCGCUGCGCUCGGUGCGCUCAGGAGUGCUUGUGAGUCCAGUCUUAAAUGAGAAAUGGCAUUGCAUGGCACCGACAGCACUCUAGCGACUGCCACAGUUGAAAGCAGAAACAACGGCUAUCAGGGAGUCGUCGGCCAAGGAAAGCAAUUCCCAUAGAUGUCAUCUAUGUUUAGCAAAUAUGUUGGGGAGCUGGAUGCUGAUGGAUUGACCAUGAGUGAUCAACCUUUCACUGUUAGACCACUGGUCCUAAAGAAGCACAGAACUGGGAGAAUUACCAAUUACAGGUUUGUAUUUGAUUCUGUGAAAUAUGCUUGCUGGACAUGACCCAUUUCACAGUGAACAAAUAUGCAUUUCUUAAAAACCUGCAGUAAUAUAAGAGCUCAUUAUCACAAAUACCAAUUUACACAAACCAUUUUUUCUUUCUGCAUCAGAUCCUUUAGAUUAGGUUUGGGAGAGCAGCAUUUAUUGUUUUGAAGCUGCACUUCUGCUGCUGCUAAGCAGUUCAGGAAUACAAAAAGAACACCCAGUAAUGGCAAGAAAUUUAGAAAAUAAGAAGUCAGCCAGAGCUACUUUAUGGAGAUUAGACCUGGGGACACCACAGACCUUUAGAUCUCUGUGACAGGGAAGGAGUGUGCUAUUUACAGUAAGUAUUUGGAAAGCUCUCUUAGCUUCCUUGAGACCGAGAAAUUGGUUUGGCAGUAUGGACUGUGCUAUGACAUUCUUUGUACUUCCCAGUGACUGCUGCGGUUUUUUCGUGAUUAAAUUUCUGGUGAGCACCAAACUUAGAAGAUUACUCUUAUAAUAACUAAUAAUUUCUUUCAUUUGAGUUAUAACUCUCUUUAAUAUAAAAGUUUCCUUUAUUUCUAUUUUUCCUUUUCAAAUAUUCUUUUCCGCUGUUUUAAAUUACAAUUUACAUUACUAAAUAUGAUUUUCCACUGUUUAUUUUAAUUGUCAUGUUUUACUGACAAAAGCUUAUAAUUGCUUUUGCAAGACUAUGUUUGGCAAGCAUUGUUUUCCUACACUGAUAAUACACCGGUAUCAUAAUGACAACAUGAUCUUAUUUUUGAAAGAGUGAGCCAAUAGGCUCUCUAACAGAUAAAAACCUUUUUACAGACUAAUAUUGUCCUUUACACCAGUGUUUGAUAUCAGAAAUUGAAAUUCUGAGAUCAAAAGUCCUUUCCUGGCUAUGUCAGAGACAUUUUUGGUGAAUUAGGGAAAAUAGUUUUCACCACAUUAUCUCGUUUUCACCAUCAUACUGAGCCUGUCUGGUUCUCAGGCACAUUGGAACUCAGCUUACUGACAUUUUCAAAAUACUUUAACAUAUUUGCAAGUGUUACUUGCAAUUACUAUUAACUCUAUGAGCUGAGGAUUGUAAUAUAGAGGUGUUAAGGUGUUCUAAUGUGUAUGUUGUGGGAACUGUAGAAGGCUUACCCCUGUUGUGACUUUCGCAGUUCUGUUGACUUAAGGGGCUGUUCUGUUGUUUAUAAACAUCUAUUUUUGUAUGUAUGUAUAUGUGUACAUUAAUAUGUACAGGGCAUAUAUUGGCUCUGCAAGGCAGUAGUGUCUCUUCUGGUUUUAUUCCUUCAGUUUCUGCUUCUACCUGUUGAACUUCCUCAUUUUGCACUUUGUUCCAGGAUAUUCGCCACAGAUGACCAGUUAUUUCCUGGUUUUAUUACCAUGUAUUUGAAGCUCUUUCCUUUGCAACUUGAGAGGGCAUCACCUGUGAAUAAGACUUUCCUGUGGGUUUGUUUGGCCAGCUGGUAGAAUUGCAGUCAUGUCAGCAGUGUAGUAUUGCACAGCUGUUUAUGGUACAGCAACCUGCUUGUCCACACUUGGCUCCCUGUUCUGUAAGAAGGAGAAAAUGCUGAGCAUUCAGAGCUGACUGACGCUGUGAUCUUUAUUCACUGUCUAUAGCAAGAUAAAUAAGGAUACUUCGGAAAGAAAUUACAUCUUUAAAAAAAUAGGGGUGUUAGUUAUAUUCUUCAGAUUUUGUUCUUUUCUACAUCUGGCCUGGAAUAUACAAAACCUGCCAUAAGUCCUUCAGAGGGAAUAACAUACCUCAUACCAAUUAACACUAUGAGCAGAUGAUUGCGAGCAGAUGAUUGCAAGCAGAUGUGUGAGGGCUGCUGACCCCUCCAUUCAGCUGGCUGUGAGCACCCAUCUUACUGUUUCCAAGGUGAAAUGAGAUGUGUUCACUCCCCAGGAGGAGAGAUUGGCAGCAGGCAGCUCUGGUUGUCAACAUUUUUAAACUGCUGCUGCUGGUCUUCACAGGGUCAGAAGCAAAAUGCAGGUGAAUUUCAGCUCUGUAGUGAUUCAAGCUGUUGAGGUAAGUCUGCUAGUUCAAGGGGUGAAAGGAGACAGAGUCCAUAACCUUUACUCUCAGGGGGAUCUGGGUAUCAGGAAGGCAUUACCAGUAGCAAAUUUAAAUGUAGUGAUUUUUUUUUUCUGUGCUAGUAACCUUACGGUACAUUAAUGCCCAUUUGAGAGGCUGACUACUGUUUUGAUUUUGGUGAUGACCACGUUAUUUAAAAAGUAGAUUUUCUUAGGCAUAGAAUAAUGGAUUUUCUUUUAUAUGCCCAUUCUUUAUUGAAGUAAUAGUAUUAUUAAAUAUCCAUUUUGUCUGUUGAGAGAAGUUAUCACACAAACCAGUUUGUGGUAUGUGAUUUACAAAAUUUUUGAACUGAAGCAUGUGAUUUCGUGAACUGAAUGGAAUUAAUUAAAUGUGAUUGGUAGUGACUGAUAUCAAUAUUUGUGUUCAGCCAUAUACUUGUCACACAAUUUUUCUAUGAAAAAUGUAACUGGAAACAUGCACUUGCUGUUGGACUUGGCAUCCCAGCAUAGUCCUGGGCAAUAAACUCAAGGUGGUCCUGCUUGAACACAGGUGUUGGACGAGAUGCCCUUCAGUAGUCUCUUCCAAAUACAGCCAUUCUGUGAUUCUGUAGUCAGAAGUCUUUGGGUGUAUUUUGAGUGUGAAUUCAGCCUGCCAUGGCACUGACUGCAUCACAGUUUCUUUUCUGUACCAGCAGCUAUCAGUCUUGCACUCUGAUUUUGGUUAUGAAACUUAAAUUUCCACCUUGAAAAGACAUAUUUGUCAUCUUUGAUUAAUUGCAACCUAUGACUCAAUUUGAUUCUCAAUAUUCUCCACUCAUAAAUUUGUCUUUUCGCAUAAAACACCUAACUUGCAUAUGUUAACUUUACACUGAAGGUAAUGAUGUAUGGUUGGUUGUUUUCACUAAGAUUAUGGCCUCUCUGAUACCAGAAUUGCUACAGCAUGUCUGCUUUCAAGGAAAAAACAAAAAAGGUGUAUACCAAGAAUUUAACCAAUUAAAUCAGUUAUUCAUCUAUGAAGUCUGUGAAGUAUUUGACCAGUUUAAUUGCAAAGAAAGAAUAGCAGAAGACUUCUCAAGGUAAAACAUUUUUCUAACAAAACUAGCUAUUAUUUAUAUAGCAUAAAUGAGGAGAAUAAUAUGGAAAUGAGAAAGAAGCUUUUACUGAUGUAUAGCUGUAGAGGGCUUGUUCCCAACAAAGAGAUCAUGAGCAACACCCAUUCUUACACCUUCCAUUUUAAAAUGAAACAGGACAGGUGACACCCAGUUUUUCCCAGUGCAUAUGUGAUUUGCAUGAGUUAUAAAUUAGUUUUAAUGACAGUGCUGACACACUUGUUUCACUAAUUCUCUGUGUUACCACGGGUCUUGUGGGACUGUUUAGAUACCCUAUCUAUCAUUUAUUCUUUGUCUUGUCUGCUAGGCCUCUUUUCAAGUCUCUCAAAAUUAGAGACCAUUACAAGAGAAAUUACAUAUUUAAAAAAGACUUCAUUCACUCUCAUUCCUUCAUUCCUGAUACAGUAUUUUGAAGUUCAGUGCUAAGAAACUUGCUGAUAGGUAAUUGAAGGUGAAGCAAAUAGUGGCAGGUGGCAGCUGUUUAUUUCAAAGAGGUGAGUUGCAGAAUAGGAGAAGUAUGGAGUGGGAAGCUGAAACUUCCAGACAAAUGAAUGCAUUAAACAUGUGUUGCCCAGAAAAGAAUGACAUUUUAGGGCAGGCCAACAUUUUACAGUAGGCCAAACAACUUUGAAUUGUAACCCCGGAGUUUAGUUAGAGUUACAUGAAUUUGGCUGGGAUGUUACCAGUGAGUAUUCUUGUAAACAUGCAAAGGGAUGUUUUUAAACAGAAUUAACAAAGCUUUGAUCUUCUGUAUAAUCAGAAUAAUUAAAUCUCCAGCGGGGGGUGGUGAUGGUGCUGCUGUUUGUUCAUGUUCAGACGUUUCAGUUUCCUGACUAGGAGAAUAAUUAAUGUGCUAUUUCCUUGGAGAUCUUUCAGAAUUCUGACAAGAUUCUGUCUCUUUUGCCUUGAGAAGCUUUUAAGUGAUGUAGCUAUACCCAAAUACAAUUAACCAUUCGUUUUUCCUGUUAAUGUACUUUCCUGAAAGUUAACUUGCAUGAUUUACAGAUUUAUUUUUAUGUCACUACUGAUGCCUUUUUAUUUUCCAGAGAACGCUCGUUUCGCUGUGCAGCGCCACCUAGUGCACAGAGCUGCUGCUGCAUGCAGGAACAGCUGCGACACUCGGCACGGCCAGGAGGGAUGAGGAGCCUUUCCCGGAUAGCUCAAACAACGUUACUCACAUCUUCAGAAACAGAAGCUUUUUUACUUCCAGCUUUCCUUCUCCAAAAUAUGUGUAGUAUUUGCCUUUUCAUGACUUUAAAUUCAUUCCUAGCUGAAGUAUAGCCUACUCUUACUUUCUUGGUAGUAUGCAUAAUAGCUACGGGGCCAUUAUACUACUACCUAUUGAUGCUUAAUGUGUUCUUUUUUUUUUCAGCACAAGUCCAUGGUUGCUGUUUGCAGUAUAGGAGGCCACAAACUGGAACCCCACAUUUCCAAGGUUUAUGUUUCCAAACACCAAAUUUUUGCCACAUGGUAAUUUCUGUACUUUUUCACAUAGUAAUUUCUUUCUGUUUAUGGAAAUGAGGUACGUAUACAAAGAAAGUAAUUUUGAAUUUAAGUGUAAUGUAACAUUUUCUUUUUUUUCCCCCUUAAGUAGUAAAGUAAAGAUGUAAGUAGUCCAAAUCUGCUGUUAUAAGUGUUUGGGCAAAGUUUUGGAGGAACCAAGCUCAAAAUUAUUACUUUCACGCAUUUUCACUGUUUUGCAGGGUUUGUACUAUUUCUAUCAGUGGUCUCAUUUAAAUUGUGAAACUUUCUAAAAUAAGAUCAUAAGAUAUUCAUCCUCUGUACCAUAAGUAGAAAUUGAUAUUUAGUGUGAAAAUCCUUCAUUUUAGGAUUUCAUUUUAGGCAUCUUCAGAGACUACUGAAGAUGCUGUCUGUAAAUCAGUUUUUGUUACAAAGAAAUCUCAAAUCAACAGCGACAUGUUUCUUUAUAAAUGAUGUUCUGUGUUCACUCAGUUUAGUCUAUACACAGUAGUUUGCAGACAAUCAUGAAAAUAAAUGGCACUUUUACACUUGAUGAAGUAGACAGGUACUCUCUUCAGAAAAUAUUAAUUAACUAAAAAGCAGUCUCUGCAGUGGCUCUGCCUCUAAGUAUAUGUAAUAAUUUAUGCUAUUUAUUUAACAGGUAUGACUAUCUAGUGAUAGAGGCAAUUUAUUUCAAUUAUUAAAUCUUGAAGAUGAGAACAUUGUAAAAGCAAAUAUGUGUGUACAGUCAUUCAAUCACCUUCAUGAGUGAUAAGGGAAGCCUUUUCUUCCCUAAGGCAGGUGCAGAAUUUAAACCUGCUUUUGUCACGAUGUGUGGCAUGAUAGCUACACAAAAAAGCUCCUGCAUUAGCCAGUCUUCACACAUACUUUGUUAAUACCGUUUUACCAUAAACAUGUUCUCUACAGCAACAUUAAUUCUUCCUGUUAGUAAGUUCUGAGUGAAGUUCCAGGUUAGAAUACUUGAUAAAGAGACAAGAUUUGUAGAAAGCAGUAGUAAUGUCCUUAAUUAGUUGUGUAGUUGGCAGAAUCAAGUACAAUCCUUCACCUAAUUGAAGAGCAGCAGGCACCAGACAAAGUAUUACAGUGAUGCCAACACACAAACAAGGGAAGUGUAGUCUGUGAGAGUGCUAAGCAUGAGCAGGCAUGCUUCAUUACUUGCUGAGAGGUCAUCAAAGGACAUAGCAAGCUCAUCAGUCAUAUACCAUAUAUUCCUUGUUCAUCUGCUACAGAAUGCAGAUGGCUGUAAUUAAAUAACUUGUGUAUUGUCACUGUAUGAAUUGAAUCGUGACAGAGAGACGGUCCUUUCUCCCCUUCUAUUUGUUUAAGUGUGCUAAGUGUAACAUAUUAUUAUAACAUUGGCUUAUAUAGAUGACAUCAGGAAAGUAUAGAUUUAAUUCAGCUGUAUUUUAAUUCAUCUCUUCACUUGACAAAAAACAUCCUGUGUAAGGAGAGAACUCUUUAGAAGUCACUUUCUGUGACAGCAGAGUGAUUCACCAAUCCAAGAGCUGAUUUUAGCUGACUGGUUUGCUACUAUAUUUUGCCAUGAAGGAGAAUAAAAUGUAUCAUUAUUUUAUGAAGAGGUUCUUUUCUUCCCCUUGCCAAUUUGCUCUGAAAGUGUUUCUUUAGGUGUAUGCCAAAGCAAGAGAUCUGAUUGAAGUACCGAACCUCAAUUCUACUGUGUAUCAUCUUAAGCAGAACAACUUUUGCUUCUCUUCAUGUGAUUUUUUAUUUCUAAUUUGUUGCCUGUAUUUCAAUUUUGUAUGUUUGGAAAUACUUGCCAGAUCUGAGACUAACAGCAUUGUCAGUUUGUACUGUGAUCAUUUGGGAGCUUUGCAUUUAACUAUUUUAAACAAGUCAAAAUCUGAUAGGCUGGAAAUAAAGAAGCUAAAUGUUUUAAAAUCAAUGGAGGUGAGCUGUCAAAAAAAUUCAAGGAAGUAUUAUAAAAUAUCCUUUAAAUCUGCAAGGAACAGUUUGCUUGUCAUUGUACACAACUUCAAGAAGAUUUGAUUUCUUUGAGCAAUUGAUUCAAAAAUAUCCUUAUUGUAUGAAGAAAUGCCAGGCCAUUGCAUAUAUAUACAGCUGUGUGUACAUUUUAAAUGUAUAAGCUGGACUAUGUGACAACAGGAAUGCAGUCAGAAUAAAAUUCAGGUAAGAGACACCUAUGAAUCCUUUAAGCUCCAUUCUACUAUAAAGAGACUGAUUUGACCUCUGUAUCAAGGCUUUUUCAUCCAGCCCAGGUGGCCAGGUUACCCUUGCUUGAUGCAGAGAGCUGUGAGUGUUCACCUGACCCUUGGAACACAGCUUGGUGUUGCUGCAUAGGCAGACAGUGCUGUAUAUGAAAAAUUACAUUUCUGACUUACAGAAUUACACUUCUGACACUUCUGACACCUUUUGACCUAUCCACAUUGAAUUUCACCUGCUCUUUUAUAAUCUGCCUCAUUAUACCUCUGCAACUCUGCAUAGUCAGGCACAGUCUGUACUGUGCUUAGAAUCAUUAGUGACAUUCAUCACCUUCUUUUUCACUCCUUUCCAAUUCAGUUUUGAAUAAUUUGAAAACAGGCAUACCGAAUGCAAGGACUGGGGCACUCUAUAAGUCACCAAUAUUACUGUUUCCUAUUCAGAAUAGUCCCACCACUUCUCUGGAAGCUUCAUGUGGAAUGCAAAUUCCAGAGAACAUGCUAGCUAAAAAGUCAUUGCCUUUAGGAGAUGCAAAGUAUUUUACGUCUCUGACAAUUAGAAGCAGUUCUCAGAUCACACCUUCUCCUCAAGCAGGACUCAAAAGAUCCUACAUCUUACAGAUGCAAAAUUUACUUCUUGGUAUCUUGCCAAACCCCAAUACUCUCUGGCUGCUUUUAGAUAUUCCACAUGAGGAGUGUUUAAUGUUUAAUAUCAAAUUUACUUAUUUGGUAUAGUUGGCAUUACAUGGCAGUUCAAUUUAGCAGAGUGAUACAGAAAUCAGUUGAAAUCACAGCACAAGCAAUAUAGCAGUUGUGAUGUUCAGCUGUAGUUAAAUCUCUGUUGUAGUGUGAUUGUCAUUACUGGUCCCUCUGUGCUCACUGUCAUGACACUGGACAUCCUCAGUGACCUGUAAAGAAUAAAUGGAUAAAAGCCA